UCCCUGGGGGCUCAGACGGUAAGAGCGCCUGCCUACAAUGUGGGAGACCCAGGUUCAAUCCCUGGGUUGGGAA
rfam:Ovis aries breed Texel chromosome 1, whole genome shotgun sequence.